rnacentral:rRNA from 1 species
GUAGGGAAUAUUGGACAAUGGGGGCAACCCUGAUCCAGCCAUGCCGCGUGAGUGAAGAAGGCCCUCGGGUUGUAAAGCUCUUUUGUCCGGAAAGAAAAGCUUCGGGUUAAUACCCCGGGGUUCUGACGGUACCGGAAGAAUAAGCACCGGCUAACUUCGUGCCAGCAGCCGCGGUAAUACGAAGGGUGCAAGCGUUACUCGGAAUUACUGGGCGUAAAGCGUGCGUAGGUGGUUGUUUAAGUCUGAUGUGAAAGCCCUGGGCUCAACCUGGGAAUGGCAUUGGAAACUGGGCAGCUAGAGUGGGGUAGAGGGUAGUGGAAUUCCCGGUGUAGCAGUGAAAUGCGUAGAGAUCGGGAGGAACAUCUGUGGCGAAGGGGACUGCCUGGACCAGCACUGACACUGAGGCACGAAAGCGUGGGGAGCAAACA